UACGAAGGGGACUAGCGUUGUUCGGAAUUACUGGGCGUAAAGCGCACGUAGGCGGAUUUGUAAGUCAGGGGUGAAAUCCCGGGGCUCAACCUUGGAACUGCCUUUGAUACUGCGAGUCUCGAGUCCGAUAGAGGUGGGUGGAAUUCCUAGUGUAGAGGUGAAAUGCGUAGAUAUCGGAAGGAACACCGGUGGCGAAAGCGGCGCGCUGGACCUCUUCUGACGCUGAGGCGCGAAAGCCAGGGGAGCAAACGGG
rnacentral:rRNA from 1 species